rnacentral:rRNA from 1 species
ACGGAUUAGUGGCGAACGGGUGAGUAACACGUGAAUAACCUGCCCUCAAUUUCGGAAUAACCCAGGGAAACCCGGGCUAAUACCGGAUAAGUAAACCUGUGGCAUCACAUGGUUUUGGAAAGUUUUUCGAUUGAGGAUGGAUUCGCGGCCUAUCAGCUUGUUGGUGAGGUAAUGGCUCACCAAGGCGACGACGGGUAGCCGGCCUGAGAGGGUGGACGGCCACACUGGGACUGAGACACGGCCCAGACUCCUACGGGAGGCAGCAGUGGGGAAUAUUGCGCAAUGGACGAAAGUCUGACGCAGCGACGCCUCGUGAGGGACGAAGGUCUUCGGAUUGUAAACCUCUUUCAGCAGGGACGAAGCGAAAGUGACGGUACCUGCAGAAGAAGCACCGGCUAACUAUGUGCCAGCAGCCGCGGUAAUACAUAGGGUGCAAGCGUUGUCCGGAUUUAUUGGGCGUAAAGAGUUCGUAGGCGGUUUUUCGCGUCGGAUGUGAAAACUCAGGGCUCAACCCUGA